rnacentral:rRNA from 1 species
AGUGAACGCUGGCGGUAGGCCUAACACAUGCAAGUCGAACGGCAGCACAGUAAGAGCUUGCUCUUACGGGUGGCGAGUGGCGGACGGGUGAGGAAUACAUCGGAAUCUACUUUUUCGUGGGGGAUAACGUAGGGAAACUUACGCUAAUACCGCACACGACCUACGGGUGAAAGCAGGGGAUCUUCGGACCUUGCGCGAUUGAAUGAGCCGAUGUCGGAUUAGCUAGUUGGCGGGGUAAAGGCCCACCAAGGCGACGAUCCGUAGCUGGUCUGAGAGGAUGAUCAGCCACACUGGAACUGAGACACGGUCCAGACUCCUACGGGAGGCAGCAGUGGGGAAUAUUGGACAAUGGGCGCAAGCCUGAUCCAGCCAUACCGCGUGGGUGAAGAAGGCCUUCGGGUUGUAAAGCCCUUUUGCUGGGAAAGAAAAGCAGCAGGUUAAUACCCCGCUGUUCUGACGGUACCCAAAGAAUAAGCACCGGCUAACUUCGUG